rnacentral:lncRNA from 1 species
CUAGAUGUAAAUUCUCAGGCCCUAGCCCGAAAUUCUUACUUCAUUCAUCACAGUUCCAGGCCCGUAGGAAUGGCUUUCUCCUUCUCCAAUUGUCGGGAGAGGUUUUCCGCUCCGGUCGUCCGGAAUUUUUUUUCGUAAAAAAGAAAGUAAAAAACAAGUGAGGAACCCUGGAAAUAAAAUGUUUGUUCCGAUAACGGGAAAGUUUAUCCCUCUGAUCUUAGUUGCGGCCCCCCGAUCAAACUAGAGCGUAAGGGCGCUUUUUUGUUUGCAUGAGUCCCGGCUUCUUUCCAACGGGCAGAUGACAUCUCUUGCCUGGUGAAUCAGCAUGUUCNAUUUGUUCCGAUAACGAGAAAGUUUAUCCCUCUGAUCUUAGUUGCGGCCCCCCGAUCAAACUAGAGCAAACUACAACAAAAGCAAGUGCGCCGGUCGGAUUGACUAAACCAAUGCAACAAUCAAGAAGGCGAUCGAGAAGACAUGAGUUCCCAAACUGUAGUAUAAGUCUUUAUCGCAGAUGUGAGCUUCCCCUCAUCUUACUUCCCGCCACAAAGACAAUAAGAGAAGGAAACCUCUAACAAUAAAGAAGAUGUACUACAACCGCAUACACAUACCCUCGAUACAAAGCAAGAAAGAAAGCAGUCCUCGCCUCGGGUGAGCCCAGAAGUCAAGCAAGAAUCGACUUCACACACUAAGAAUAUCAUCAUUAUCUGAGAAAGAGCUUAAAAGAUCAA